GAUGAAGAACGUAGCGAAAUGCGAUAAGUAAUGUGAAUUGCAGAAUUCAGUGAAUCAUCGAAUCUUUGAACGCACAUUGCGCCCGUCAGUAUUCUGGCGGGCAUGCCUGUUCGAGCGUCAUUACGCCCCUCAAGUCCCCUGUGGACUUGGUGUUGGGGAUCGGCGAGGCUGGUUUUCCAGCACAGCCGUCCCUUAAAUUAAUUGGCGGUCUCGCCGUGGCCCUCCUCUGCGCAGUAGUAAAACACUCGCAACAGGAGCCCGGCGCGGUCCACUGCCGUAAAACCCCCCAACUUUCUAUAGUUGACCUCGAAUCAGGUAGGACUACCCGCUGAACUUAAGCAUAUCAAUAAGCGGAGGA
rnacentral:misc_RNA from 1 species